CAGAUACUCCCUCCGUUCCAAAUUACUUGUCUUAGAUUUGUCUAGAUACGGAGGUAUCUAGCACUAAAAUGAGUCUAGAUACAUCCGUAUCUAGACAAAUCCAAGACAAGUAAUUCGGAACGGAGGGAGUACAUU
rnacentral:pre_miRNA from 1 species